GAGUUUGAUCCUGGCUCAGGACGAACGCUGGCGGCGUGCUUAACACAUGCAAGUCGCACGGGGCAGCAAUGCCCAGUGGCGAACGGGUGCGUAACACGUGAGGAACUUGUCCAUCGGCGGGGGAUAGCCGGCCCAACGGCCGGGUAAUACCGCGUACGUCGACCGGGGCACCUGCCCUGGCCGGGAAAGCAGCAAUGCACCGAUGGAGAGCCUCGCGGCCUAUCAGCUUGUUGGCGGGGUAACGGCCCACCAAGGCGACGACGGGUAGCUGGUCUGAGAGGAUGAUCAGCCACAUUGGGACUGAGACACGGCCCAGACUCCUACGGGAGGCAGCAGUGGGGAAUAUUGCGCAAUGGGCGAAAGCCUGACGCAGCGACGCCGCGUGC
rnacentral:rRNA from 1 species